UGAGCCUUCCAAGCCGGCGCGAGCUUUACUAACUGGUUGCCAAACCCGAUCUAAGCCUUUCUAUUUCUGACGCCAGCGAGAGGAGGGGGAGACCGAGCCUUAUGGGGAAAAGGAAGCCUCCAAUGGGAGGCCGCUUACACGACAACACCCCUCCAGUGCAGCCCUCCGCCCGGCCCGCUCAUUGGCUGCCGCGCUGGGGUGGCUUCUGGGGAUAGGAAGCCAGUGGCUGGAAGCCUCGCGGUGGGAAAGGAGGAGAGCGCGGGCCGAGGAGGCGCCGGGAGCUCCGCCCGCCAGACGGAGCACACAAGUGGCUGCCUUGUGUUGGUGUCUCCCGAACUGAGGCACUGCUUACCUUUUUUGUGAUUUUAAAAAACACACAUACCCUGCUGCCAUGUUCCGAGCAGAGGGGAGAUUUUCAGGAUGCCAUGUGGUGGCAUAAGGGUAACCUUUCACAUUAAUGCUCUCCAUGUAGUUCAACUACAGCAAGGACUGGAGCCCUGUUGUGCAAACUCUACACUGUAGAGCAUGUAACAUGAUUAAUCCUGAUCUGAGUUUUUCAAGCCUUUUUGGACAAUCUGGUCUUCAACCCCUCUGCUUGAGGGAGAGCAGGCUGUGGAUGCCAAUACUUCCAUAUUGCUACUUGUGAAAGCACAAAAAACCUUUGCAGCCCUGGGUGGUUCAUGGCACAAUAAUCUGGAAAAUUUGGGAAUUCGAGAGGGGAGGAGUGCAGCAUCCUUUGAACUCAAGGUGGAAAAAAAAGUGAGGCUCUGCUGGUACUACAGAGAGAUGUCCCCUGUAAGAAGUUUCUUUGAGUUGUAAAACAAUAAAUCCAUCAUGGUCCAAACAGA